UCAUAUCAUAAUUAUAAAGCAUCGACUUUUAAUUCUUCUCCAAAUGCUUAUCACACCAAAACAUAAAAUACGAGAGAAUACAUUUUCUCUCAGAAAUCUCAACAUAAAACAAAGAAAUUGCUCCUCAGUGUUACAUAUCAGAGCAUAACCAAAGCUAAAACAAAGAAAUUAAAAGAAAUAACUCCAGGAAUAAGCUUCCAGUCAUAGCAGUGACUCCACUCUUGAGUAUCUGCAUGAUGUCCAUGUAAAGGCAACAUUCAAACAUAAGGGGUGAUAAAUCACAUUCAAUAAUAACAGGAAUAUAUUACAAGAUAGGAUACCAACACAUAGCAUAAUCUACACAAUCUCAAAUCACAGUAUAUAAAUUACAUUCUCACACCAAAUCAUCAGCCACAACUCAUUCACAUACCAAUCACAUGCCACAUUACACACCACAUUAAUAUCAUAUGAAGUUAUCUCAUUAUGCAUCUCAUAUGCAAAAUGUAACUCCAUGCAACUCGAUGUAACUCUAUGCAUGUGGUACCAACUGAAUAAUGGUUCACUCAGGAACCGAGUCCCCUCUCUAAGCUCCAAGCCCCCUCUCCGAGCUUGGGACAAGCCACUAGUCCCCCUCUAAACUAGAAACCUACCUCUUGACACAAAUCAACAUAAAUGCAUGAACAUGUUAACAAAAUUUCAAUGCGUUAAGACCCCUCUUAUGAUCCUAACAUACAUGCAUUUACAACCUUGCGUAAUCCCCUCUUUUGGAUUACCAUAACAACUUAACAUGAUACUCAACAUAGCGAUAUAACUGAGUUGCUUAACAUGUAUAAUUUAUCAAUUCAUACUCACAACUCAUAAACAUAUCAUCGUAUAAACAUAAUGAUUCGCUAACCGAUCAUACAUAUCAUCAAAAACAUCCCUACAGUAGGUAAAAUAAUACAAAUCAAACACUUCACCAAGCACUACUAUGAGGCAUCUCUACACGUUAGCUUUCUAUCGCUUCAAACGACGCGUUAUUUGGACCUACAUAUCAAAAGAUACGGCCAAAAUCGUCGGACAACGCAAUAAAACAAAAGCAUAACUUUUCACUAUUUGGACUAUGACAAUCGAUUGUCAUCUGGUGCAAUCGGUUAUCAAUGAAACAUAUUUCACUAAUGACUUCGUAAAAAAUCACUUUUCUAGGCAUGACAAUCGUUUGUCAUCUGGUGCAAUCGAUUGCACUGCUAUUUCUUUUUAAAAUUUCAACUAAUGCAAUCAAUUGUCAUAUGGUUCAAUCGAUUGUCAUUAUAGUUUUUUCAAAAAAUUAUAGUUUUAAAUGCGUGCAUCAGAAUUAUUUAAUUCCCAACCCCUCUCAAACGCUCUCUAACAUCCAAAUAGCUUAUUUCAAAUUUCUAACAUAGUAAACCAACUUACUACUAUAAUCUCUUCACAUAUUCACCAAUUAACAUAAAAUUAACAAUUUAACAAGCAUAAUCAGGGAUUCCUGUAUUUUCACAAAUCCCUAAAACCUCCAAACAUCAUCAAUGGUGGAAAAUACAUGAACAUACCGAAAUAAAAUUUCAUUAAUACAUUGACACAUGAAAUUCAACAUUUAUUUGCAUAAAAUCAAAUAUGAUCAUCAAUUUCAUAAUUCUCAACAAAAUAGUUAAUCCUAUUGUGAGGUUAAGGACUCCUCUACCGUACCCCUCAUGCAUUAGCCAUUUCUAUCAAAGUUAUUCUCCUCUUACCUUAGACUUUUCCAGCAAAAUUCUUCCAAGCUUUAUCAAUGGAUGUUCUCCCUAUACCUUUUCUUGCUUUUUCUCUUGCCAUAGCCUCCUUUUUC
rnacentral:lncRNA from 1 species